ACAGCCUGGCUAUGGGCUGAGCUGCUUUGAGACUCAUUUAGGACUACCACUAACGUUAGUUAUCAUUCGUUUAGUUGAGUCAGGUCAUGUAUUAUAACCAGUUGCACAGCGUACACAUGCCAAUUUUGGUUGCUGUGUUGAAUUUUCCUGAAGCCUUGUGAUACCCCGAUUUGAUGUCCCAGCCCAGUCUGGCAGGAGCACCAGUUAGCACAGGAACUAAGCUGGUGCUUCCAGUGCUUUCUGAAAGUUCAGACCUUCCCAUUGCAUGAGGAAAUGGAACCAGCUGAAAAAUUAGGAACCAGCUUAUCAAAUAGACACACACAGUUAAGACUGUAAAAUAAAUAGAAGAUUAACAGACAAACUAUUCCUUCCUCCCUCCCUCUUUCUCUUGAGGCAUUGCAGACCUGCAUUUAGAACAGUGCCCUCUCUCAUUUUGUAAGACCCGUCCUUUCAUUUUUCGUCCUGUGCUUUUUAAUAGUUAUUUAGGCAUGGGGCAAUAGUUGUGGACUGCUCUUGUAUGGCAUAUGAAAAAAUCUGUUGAUAAAGAGAAGGGGAAGAGACUGGGCAGAUGGUGUUACAUUAAUCCUAACCCCUGGCCCCCGCUUGCCUGGUUAACAGAGACAUAUCACCAGUUGUUUUGGAGUGCAGGAAAUCUUUCGUUUCUUAUGAUGAUAAACAGAACAGUAUUCAAGCAUUGUGACGGCAAAUGUGAUUUUGGAAGAGAGACUGAAUGGGGAAGUGCUGCUGGGAAAAAUGGGAGGCUUCAGGACAUUUUCUGAGAUUCUUGUAGUAAAUGGAAACCAAUGGAUUCUUUUGAACACUUGAGCAGAAAGUGUGACCAGUUCCACCUGAGCAGUACCUGGGUCAUCCUCCACAUUAGAUGUGCACAUAUAUGUUUAAAAUAAAAAACACACAAAACUACUCAGCACCAGAAGAAAGUAUAUGGCUGCACUAGAGGAAUUUUGGACAUUUACCAAUGUUGCUUUUCAGGAAUCACCUGGUAUUGAGCAAGGAGACAGACACCAAGUAGCUCAGCUCCAUCUGAUGUGAUAGCUGUACCCUAUCUAGUCAUCAGUUGAAACCUGCCAGUGGCCAGGCCUGGAGCUGAGCUUAUGAAGCUCAUUAUCAUAAAGGAGCUGUGGAUCAAACCAAAUGUGGUAGACUGCAUGAAAUCAGAUCUCUGUUGCUGAAGCCAAGGACUUUCAUAGGUGUUUCCUGGAGCAGGGGACGAUGCAAAGUUGAAUGUCAGGAGUGCCCGGGAACCAUCAGCAAAUGUAAGUAGCUGCAAAACACCAACAUGGCUGACAUUAAAGGCUCAGAAUAGAGCAGAUUCCGAUUUUUUUUCCCUGCACCUUUCCUCUCUUCCUGCUGUCAUGUGAAGCAAGCCCCCAGCCUGAACACAUCACAUAAUUCCUCUUUGGUUCUCUCAUUGCAGCUCAUAUGUCCUUCAUUCUCACACCAUAUUUAAAAUCACUACAUAAUACAGUUCUUGUAGGAACACUUUUACUCCCCUGUAUUCAUCCCAGAGAAGGAGGAAUGUUUUAAUGAGACUUUUUCUUCUUGCAAUACUCAUUCUCAUGCCCUUUUCCCUCUGCAGUGACAGUCAGUCUUCCUCUGAUCUACUAAAAACAAAGAAUAAAUGAUAACACACUGCUGUUGCCACUAUAUUUCCUCGUCACGGAUAUAUUUAUUUCCUUCAUAGAGGUGUUUUACCUUUGGACCUCUUUUUCAAAUAAAGUGGCCCGCUAUCAGCAAGUUAUAUUCAAGAACAAAAACACAGUUAAGACAUCAGAUCUUAAAGUUACCGGUCUUUCAUAGGACUGCCGAAAUGAUAUUUCAUUAUAUGUGAGCCUUACGCCAUUUUAAAAACACGUGAAAAAGGUUAAAAGGUCUUUUUGUGCAAUAAUUCUGCACAGGUCAUCCCCCAUGGUGUUCAAGAGGUUUUCUGUCUUACAUAUUCCCAAAUGAAGUUAAUGUAUUCACUUAAAUGCUUGCUGUCCCCUCUGUCCUUCCAGCAGAAUCUCCUCCUCCACUUUCCUAUCACCAAAUCUAAUCUCAGUUAUUUCUGCUUCACCUCCAUCAUGCAAACAAAUCCAAAGCCCAUCUGCAACCUCAAGUCCCCAAAACCAAUGAGAACAUUCUUUGUUUUAAGAAUUAGAGUAGUUUACCAUUUGUUUUGUCAUCUAUUUUUUGCAUGCUUAAAGUUUAGCUCUUGUUGGGAUAUCGCUGGGCGCUAUAAUUAAUUACCUUGUUUACUUUAUGCAGAAUUUUUCUUCUAUUGGAUAGUAGUAGUCAGCAAUUGGAAGUGAACUCAGAAAUCUAACUCCGUGUCUUCUGGAAGUGAUCUAACUGUUGGAUCAGUGUGUCCCUGGCACAUUUGUAGAACAAAUUCAUAUGUCGGUUUCCACAAAGUACUGGUAGUGUCUCAGCUUGCCAGCUCUUCCGUUCUCCUGCAAAUGAAACAAAAUUCCAACUUUAAAUGCAGCCUCUGCAGCCUGUUCCAAGAUUGAAAUUCAAACGUGCGGAUCAGAGGUCGCCUCUUUAACGCUAGUUUUGGUUAAUCAAGAGCUUAAAUGGACGUGCUUCUUCAGCUGCGGGUUGGUAUUGUGGGAACCUGACAAAAUCAUACUGUUUUGAACACGUUCCGAUGUGCCGGCAAUGUUUUGAGAAGUAUUGAUCUCUUGUGGGUUCCAUAAUUUAAAACACCUUCUGGAUCAGGUAAACUCAACAGACUGGCACACCCAAUUGAGCCAAGUUUUCGUGCUUUAUAUCUUAUAAACCGAAUAAAGAGAAAAAAAAAAAAGAGAAAAAAAAAUGUUCAAAAGCCCCACAUUCACUGCUGCAGUGCCUGCAGAAACUUCACCAAACACAGUGGAACGGCAGAUCUCUUUUAAUCAAGCCCUUGAUCUGCGUCCUGUAAAAGGUUUCGCAUUUUGACCCAUCAGAAAGCCCUGCCCCAACAGGGCUGAGAUACUUCACAGUAUAUUAUAAAUAAUACUUUUAAAACUCAAAGAAAUUAGGUCUCUGAGCAUUUUGUUUUGUUUUGUGUUUUUUUUUUCCUGAAAAGUUUUACUCUAUUUAUGAAAAUUUAAAUAUGCCUCUCGAGAACCAAAACCAUCACAGCAAAGAAAACAGCAGGACCAGACACAAGAGCGCUUGUAUUCUGAGCACAAAGACAUCUGAAAAGAAGACAGCCUGACAUUUGCCCCAUUUUAGGUGAACAAAAAUACAUAAAUAAAUUACUAAAUAGGCUUAUUACAGAGUCAUUCUGCUUUUUCAUAUACCUACAGCGAAAAUGAAUCAUAUUUUAAUGCAGGAAAACCAGGUGACAACAUAUUUGAAUUCUGUAUAAGAUAAUGAGCUGUAUUUUCAUUUGAGAUGUGUCAAAAUAAAAUACCACUGGGAGAAA